rnacentral:misc_RNA from 1 species
GCACAUUUCAGCUAGUUCUAAAGUCUAAUGGUACAAGAAUUUUUUUUUUAAGUAGUGUAUUGUAAUAGGAGAAUUACAACAUUUUGCCUUCAUAUAUACUAUAUUUCGUACAACCUAUAUAUAUUUCUAGACUUCUGUAUUUCUUGCAAAUGCAUAGUUUCAAGAACUGAUCUUCUCCGCCUUUUAAGAUAAAAUCGACCAAGAUCUCUUCAUUUAGGAGUUAGGACUGGCAAGCUUGAUUAAUAAUUGGAAAAUCCACAAACCAAAAUGUUCUGUGAGGAGUACCAAUAUAGAAUAUCUUGCUUUUUCCAUGAUAAGCUGAAAUAUUUCACAAGAAUACCCUCUUUAACGUCCUUGCAGCGACUCGGGAAGC